rnacentral:rRNA from 1 species
UCGGGAAUAUUGCGCAAUGGAGGAAACUCUGACGCAGUGACGCCGCGUGCAGGAAGAAGGUUUUCGGAUUGUAAACUGCUUUUAGACAGGGAAGAAAAAGACAGUACCUGUAGAAUUAAGCUCCGGCUAACUACGUGCCAGCAGCCGCGGUAAUACGUAGGGAGCGAGCGUUAUCCGGAUUUAUUGGGUGUAAAGGGUGCGUAGGCGGCGCGUCAAGCCGGUGGUAAAAUUGCGGGGCUCAACCCCGUAGAGCCAUCGGAACUGGCGUGCUUGAGUGGAGAAGAAGUAUGCGGAAUGCGAGGUGUAGCGGUGAAAUGCAUAGAUAUCGCGCAGAACUCCGAUUGCGAAGGCAGCGUACUAUUCUC